rnacentral:rRNA from 1 species
UACGUAGGGUGCGAGCGUUGUCCGGAAUUAUUGGGCGUAAAGGGCUCGUAGGCGGUUUGUCACGUCGGGAGUGAAAACUCAGGGCUUAACCCUGAGCCUGCUUCCGAUACGGGCAGACUAGAGGUAUGCAGGGGAGAAUGGAAUUCCUGGUGUAGCGGUGAAAUGCGCAGAUAUUGGGAGGAACACCGGUGGCGAAGGCGGCCCUCUGGACCGGUACUGACGCUGAUGCGCGAAAGCGUGGGUAGCAAACGGG